UCUGUUCAUAGAGGAAGAUCUGUUACCCAAAAGCUCGUGCAUACAUUUUUAUAACUAUCACACACCUACGGAAAGGGCAAAAACUUGAGUAUUUGUGUACUUGAAUUUUGGCUAUAAAACAUCAGUUGAUCAGGAAGCCUUGCUUGAAAAUCUCCUGUUGACUUGAUAUUCAGGCAAAAUAUAUACCGUAUCCUCAAACAAACGCAUGUGGCUUACAUCUGAAUCCUUUGAUAACUUUCUUCCAAAAUAUUUCCGUGGAAGGUAAAGGAAAUGCCUCAGACUGGCCCAGGGGAGGUCAUGAAAUUUUGUGACUUUUUUUUUUUUUUUUUUUUUUUGGUCCGACCAUGACCUCCUUUACUGUGUAUCUCACCCCAAACUGCAGGAACGAUGUACAUCGUGUGAUGUUUCUUUCAUGCUAGUGAUGGACACAACGAUGUAGGCACCAUUACCUGCACACAAGCGUGUCCCUCACAAGUGUGAAUCUGACCAGUGGGCAGAGAUGAGCUGAACGUGAAAGCCCUCAGCACUGUUCCUGGGAGGGGGUGGCCAAGAGACGCCGGGAUGGAAGACAGUCAGGCUCCAGGCUCCGGGUGGCUGGGCAGGUUUGUGAGAGGCCCAGAGAGAAGUAAGGAGCCCCGGUGGAGGAGGAUGGGGACCCUAGGCCCAGCCCCAGACCUGGACAAGGCCUCACGGCUACACCUGCCUGGUCACCACCUCUCAGCCUCCGUCUCUGCAGCUGGAGGUCUCCACAGAUAAGAUUUCUCAACUUCAAACUGUCAUCAAGGUGCAUCUCCACUCCCCGUCGUGGGGCUAGUGCCUAUAUUCCAGGGUCACCCGGGGUAGUUCGGAGAGGCCAAAUCUUCAAGCCCUACACCACCCCCCUGCUUUGAGACUGGAGUAGAGACCGGAGAGUGGAGAGGGAGAAAGUGACUGCUGGAGACAUAGGUGGAAAGGCAGAGUGUGAGAAAAUACCGGGAAGACUAGGGAUGACAGGCAGGCAAAAGCGGGUUGGCCUGGACAGUCGCUGCGGAGGCGCCCUGCCGGAAACGUCCGGGGUAGGGGUGGGGGGACCUGGUUCCGCAGAGGCUGAGCCGUCCCAGGUAAGAGGAUCCGCUCCGAAUUCACAAAUGAAACCUGGAGGCUCAGCUUGGGACGCAGAGAGCAAGGCUGCUUCUUGCUCCCUGACCUUCAGCUUGGGCCCUUCGCUCUCCGCCCCCACCGAUCUCCCCUGCGGCCACCUCUACCCCUCCAGACGCCCGCGUCGUCGCAGGUGUUCAGGCACACAGCCCACAGCGGGCCGAGGCGGCGGACUCACCUGGGCGGCGGCGGCAGCGGCGGCGGGAGCGGCCGUCGGAAGGCGCGGCGCCAGCGGCCUGUCCCCCCGUCCGGCCCGGCUCCCUCCCGCCCUGGCGCCGGCGGCGAGGGUCCGCGUGGCCACGUGUCCGGCGGGGAAGUCCGAGGGAGCGGAGGAGUCUGCCCGGCCGCCCGCUCCCCCUCCCGGGUAUAAAUCUUGGGGACCGGAAAUACAAUAAAACUUCACCGUGUUGAUGAACUUCAAAUGGUUUACAUCCCCUCCUGUCCUGAAAAGAAAGACGGCCGGGGGGGCGGGUUAAAAGGAAGGGGAAACAAAUUUACGAGCCGCAGAAGCAGCCGCCUCGGCCCCUUUCUUUCGUCCGAGCAGACUGUGUCCGCGUGGAGAGAGGCAGCCUCGGCCCCCGGGACUUUGCGUCGGCUGUCCCCGCCUCCAGGGACUCUUCUCUCGCAGGAGUCGCCCGUGCGGCGGCUGGCAACUCACCGGGCCGCACGCACAGGCCCGGGCUCGGCGGACCCGGCCC